GGAAUAUGACUUUGGACUGACUGUUUUGGAAAAAAUCUAUAACCUUGAGAAUUGAGAUUAUCGAAUUAUGUUGUAUUAAGUGAAGAUAUUGAAUUUUGUAUGAUGAAUUAAGAAACUGAAUAUAAUAAGUAAGCUGGAGAUUAAUAAUUGAAUAUAUAUAAACCGCAAAGAGAGUAAGUGGAAGAUGAACUGAUAAGAAUAUGGAAGUAUUGUUGAAUUAAUAGUGAUAGAAUGGAUUAUGUAUUGAAUUAAGAUAGAAGUAGUAAGCCUUGGUAUUUUGUAGUUUGAUAAUUGAUUUCAGAUAGCUAGAGU
rnacentral:lncRNA from 1 species